GACGAACGCUGGCGGCGUGCUUAACACAUGCAAGUCGAACGGAAAGGCCCUGCUUUUGUGGGGUGCUCGAGUGGCGAACGGGUGAGUAACACGUGAGUAACCUGCCCUUGACUUUGGGAUAACUUCAGGAAACUGGGGCUAAUACCGGAUAGGAGCUCCUGCUGCAUGGUGGGGGUUGGAAAGUUUCGGCGGUUGGGGAUGGACUAGCGGCUUAUCAGCUUGUUGGUGGGGUAGUGGCUUACCAAGGCUUUGACGGGUAGCCGGCCUGAGAGGGUGACCGGCCACAUUGGUACUGAGAUACGGCCCAGACUCCUACUGGAGGCAGCAGUGGGGAAUAUUGCACAAUGGGCGGAAGCCUGAUGCAGCAACGCCGCGUGCGGGAUGACGGCCUUCGGGUUGUAAACCGCUUUCGCCUGUGACGAAGCGUGAGUGACGGUAAUGGGUAAAGAAGCACCGGCUAACUACGUG
rnacentral:rRNA from 1 species